rnacentral:rRNA from 1 species
AUUGAACGCUGGCGGCAGGCCUAACACAUGCAAGUCGAACGAGUGGCGGACGGGUGAGUAAUGUCUGGGAAACUGCCUGAUGGAGGGGGAUAACUACUGGAAACGGUAGCUAAUACCGCAUACCAUCAGAUGCGCCCAGAUGGGAUGAGCUAGUUGGUGGGGUAACGGCUCACCAAGGCGACGAUCCCUAGCUGGUCUGAGAGGAUGACCAGCCACAUGGGAACGGAGACACGGUCCAGACUCCUCCGGGAGGCAGUAGUGGGUAAUAUUGCACAAUGGGAGCAAGCCUGAUGCAGCCCUGCCGCGUGUAUGAAGAAGGCCUUCGGGUUUUAAAGUACUUUCAUCGGGGAGGCGUUACCCGCACAAGAAGCACCGGCUAACUCCGUGCCAGCAGCCGCGGUAAUAC